UUGGUAGCUAACACAUCGGGCAUGCUCAAAGCUCUGGCUAGUGUGCCCAACAGCCAGUUCCCGGCUCUGAAGAAGCUGGGGCUUCUUCAGUAGCCCGGUCCCUUUAAAUCGGACCUGGCCAGUUGCUAAGCAACUGUGCGGGCCCCCAGCUGGGCGCUGCACUGCGGAGACUAGGUUCUGCCCCGGGCCGGCUCGGCCAGGUCGAGGUGGCCAGCACCAAACAGGGGGGCUGCCGCCUGCCCAUGGUAGCCGGCUCCGGGGGGGAAGUGUGGACAGGGCUCUCCAGAUCGCACCUCCAGUUCCAGAUAAAGCCAGUGGAAACUUUUAUCCAGUAUAAGAUCUCUGACCUCAGAAAGGGUAAGUACAAUUUUGUUGACUGUUAACUCAUUGGUCUUAGGAACACAGAGCCUUUACCCAACAGAAACCAUCAACCUUGUAAGUACAUUGUCCAGCUGCAUAUGCUGUACACCUUCAGGAAGGUCUUAUAAAAAUUCCAAACAAGGAUUUGGAAUGUGGCUUAGUGGUGGAGUAUUUGUCUAGCAUGCAUGAAGCCCUGGAUUCAAUUCCUCAGUACCACACGAACAGAAAAAACCAGACUUGUCACUGGCUCAACUGGGUAGAGUGCUAGCCUUGAGCAAAAGAAGCUCAGGGACAGUGCCCAGGCCUGAGUUCAAGCCCCUGGACUGGC